rnacentral:rRNA from 1 species
AUGGCGACGGAGGCGUUGGAGAUGUACCGGCAGUCGGAGAUCGGCUACGCCCUCACCGAGACGCUGGACAAGAUGGUGAGCAGCGGCGUGCUCAGCCCCGACCUCGCCAUCACCGUCCUCCUGCAGUUCGACAAGGUCCCCUCCCUCCCCCUUGCUGCUCCUGCAAUAAACUUAUCAAUCAGCAUGUCCUGCAAUAAACAAACUGCAUGCAUGCCGGAUGUUUUGAUCCUGGUCUUGUUGUUUCAGUCCAUGGGACACGCGCUGGAUAAGCAUGUCAAGAGCAGGGCCUUCUUCAAGCGAGGCAAUCUGCGCACAUACAGGAACUGCGAUGACGUCUGGACAUUAAUCUUGAGAGACGUGACGUUCAAGAACGAGGAUAUCGAAACAGUCCUCCACAAAGUGAAGAUCGUCGCCUGCGAUUCUGCUGUGCUUAAGAAGCCUCUCAAACCUAUUACUUGCCAUCAGUGCCAACCAUAG